UAUAAGAUGCCUGAAAAAAAGGAUAAUUUUGAUAGAAUUAUGCAUGUGUGCCCCCACUCUUAUAA
rnacentral:tRNA from 1 species